CCUANGGGGGGCAGCAGUGGGGAAUUUUGCGCAAUGGGGGAAACCCUGACGCAGCGAUGCCGCGUGGAGGAUGAAGGUCUUCGGAUUGUAAACUCCUUUUGCAGGGGAAAAAUGUGCAGGUGAAGAAUCUGCAUUGAUUGUACUCUGCGAAUAAGCCACGGCUAACUUCGUGCCAGCAGCCGCGGUAAGACGAAGGUGGCGAGCGUUACUCGGAAUUACUAGGCGUAAAGCGUGGGCAGGUGGUUCGAUAAGUCUGUUGUGAAAGCUCCUGGCUUAACUGGGAGAGGCCAAUGGAUACUGUCGGACUUGAAUUUGGGAGAGGUAACUGGAAUUCCUGGUGUAGCGGUGAAAUGCGUAGAUAUCAGGAGGAACACCAAUGGCGAAAGCAGGUUACUGGACCAAUAUUGACACUCAUCCACGAAAGCUAGGGGAUCAAACAGGAUUAGAUACCCUUNUANUC
rnacentral:rRNA from 1 species